AAGUCACCAUGAAUUAUAUUGUUAAUUUAAAAUAUUUCAUAGUUUACGAAAAUGUCAAAAGCACGGUAUUUUAAUAGUUUUCUUGUGAUUUUUGUUGUUACUGUAUACUUCAUGGUAAAAUUGAAAUCCAAACCAAUCCAGUAUUGGUAAACUUGAGCUUUUUUCACAUACUUUAAAUUUAUCGUGUAGGGAUUUGAAACGCGCGCCAUUUUUGCGAAUUUUUGUUUUGCAAAGAAUUUUAAUUAAAUAAAAUUAGCUAAAUCGGUCGCUACUUUAAGAAUUCAGAACAUCGAAUAGUUCCAGGACUCCCUGGCCAAAGUGGACCCAAUGUCCGCCGAUCUUGUGCGGCGUUUUGUGCUGUUGCUGAACCUCCUGACGGAUCUGCUCGAUGCAAAGUAUCCGGAUAAGUUGGUGGCCAAUCUUGCAGAUAUCUCCCGAAAAUCCCUUCCAUCCACAGCAGCACCAGGAGCUGUUGGAGCAUGCCUCGAUGGUGGCGGUAUUCGUCGAGCGAAAUUACUGUUCUAGAUCUCCGGUGAAACGAUGGAUGGCAAGGAUUUUGAGGCUGAUUGAUAUGCCACACGCAUAGCCAGAUGGUGGUGCUUCGCUGACUGACCAUCACCUACACCGUCACCGAAGCCGAGCAGGACAUCAGACUAAAGUGCCUGGAAGCCGAUGCCACUACAGAUUUUUCAGAAACAUCCCCUGGGUUCUGAAUGAGUUGCAGGCCACCGAAGCGGUAAUGCGUGUUCUGCAGUAUGCUUGCGUUAAAAGCGUGGUUACCGAAAACGGAGGCGGACAAUGGUGACGAUGUAAAAGUUGCUCCCACAUCUGAAAUGGGAAACAGGAUUUCCGAAGGGUAUCACCUCCAUCGAGUAUCGACGAACUCGAGGCGCUCAUCAAUGAACUGCCGACUAAUUGGUAGUUGCUCGUACCAAAGACCUGAAUCUUCGAGCACAUUACUAUGGAUUGUUUGGGUUCAUCGUUGGAUAUGAGCUGAAAAAGUCCUUAGUCGAAAUCGCAGUAAAGUAUUCGAUGGGCUGAAUUUCAGCAACAACCUUGUUAUAAAAGGCUAUCUAAGAAUCAUAAAAUAAAAUAAAUUAUUUAAAAUUCUUUUUUAAUUAACCAGGUUGCUAUAGUUAUUUCUUGUUUUAAGGAAUAAUAUUCAUGAUU